UCAAAACCUUCCACAGGAAUAAUGUGUUCUGGCUCCUCAUUGUGCAUGACGCCCCUCCCAGAUAAGAAACAGUCUGGUUUUCAGGUUCUCAUUCUGACUUUUGAGAGCACAAGAUAAAGAUCUUAGCUCUACUUGGAUAAUUGACUAUAGAAAUCAGAAUUCUCAGAAAUCAACUGCUUUAGAAGGUUAAAAUGUGAAGUUUCUUGUUUGUUUUUUGCUUGUACUGAAUAUUUUGAAUUUUAAUCUACCUCGUCUCAUUUUUUGUAGUUACUUCUGUCAUUGCCACUUGAGCAUGAAGCUUGACUUUGGUCGUUGUCUAAAAUGGGAUCUCUCCUGUUCAGUGACAGUUUAUUCUCUUGCCUUUCCUCUUGGCCCCCAUUUCACCUAACAUCAUCUCUUAUUGCUCCUGUCAGAAAUAUGUUUUAAAGUCUUGUUUUAUGGGAAAAAGUGGUUCACCAAUGCUGUUUGUCUCUGAGGUCAGUGAGAGAAGGAGUUAAAACACAGUGGUGAAGGAAGGGCAGAUCCUGCUCUGGAGGCAAAAGCUGACAAGGAAGGAGUCAUUAAUUACAGACAAUUUCAAAGUCAACUGAUUGUGAUCAUUAAUGUCACAAUAGAUCAAAACCUAAUUAUCACAGCCUAGGUAAGAGCCAUCAGUAUUAAUCGGAAAAUCUAAUAGGAAACUAUUACCAAGAAAUUAGGCCAAAUUGAAUGCAAUGAACUUUUUAUCAUCUUUUUUUGGUAAUGUUCUUGGUGUUGGCAACUGUGACCCUAACAGCUGGUCCAAGCCCAGAUUGCUAAUUUCACUUUUAAAGAGCCUAGGCUGGCCCUAGUGCUUGUAGUACUCCUGCCUCAGCCUUAAAUACUGGGAUUAUGAGGGGAUGUGUGCAUUCCUGUUUGUGUGGGUGGGUAGGAGAGAAUUGAACUCAGGGCCUUGUACAUUUUAGACAAGUGCUCAACCACUGAGCUGUAUUCCUAGUUCAGAGUGUUUUGUUUGUUAGGGAAGUUUCCAGAGAGACUGAAUCUGAGCUAACAUUGCUGAAACACCAACCUUGAAUUUUCUCAUCAUGGAUUUGUCCAGUCUAAUCAGAUCAGUGGGAUAUACAGGUAUAUAUUAAAGUCAUAGAGUGUCCCUGGUGAACAUUGUUGCUGUAUCAUCCGUUGAGUGCUUGUGUAUAGAGCUCUGUACUGGCUGCUGUGAAGGCUGUGGGAGGAAGACAGUGUCCUGCUUUGAAAUUCUUUGAGAACUAAAAAGAUAGUUUCCUUGUAUGACAACAGGAAGAAGAUGCAAGCCAGUGUUUUCCUGUUUGCAGUAACGCUAGGAUUUGAUCCUGAACAGCCUGGCAGUGUGCCUGAUCCCAGUAGUUCUAAGAUAGGAACAAAAUGAUUUCCCACUGGAAUUCUAAGGGAUGGGGAAGAUAUCUUUGUUUUCCUUUCUGUGUUACAAGUUAUAUCUCUGGUAGUAGGAGAAGCCAUCAGUAUGUCCUUAAGAUGUUUGUAAAGAUGCUACCACCUUUGGGUGAGAUGAGUCAGGCAGUGGAAAAGUUGCUGUCCUUUGGGUGUCACAGGAGGAAUGCCAGGCAGUAGUAGAGGGAAUUGUGCCUAGGAGUCUACACUGUGCCCUGCAGCCCUGCUGCACUUCAGGUGCUCAGUGCUAAUCUUACUUAGGAAGGCCAUGCUCCUUUCUGGAACUUGGAUUACCCACUACAAGACUGAGAAUCAGUGUCUUUUGUUUGUUUGGUUUUUUUUUUUUUUUUUUUAAGACAGGGUUUCUAUGUAGCCAUGGAUGUCCUGGAACUUGCUCUGUUGACCAGGCUGGCCUCUAACUCAGAGAUCUGCCUGCCCCUGCCUCCCAAGUACUGGGAUCAAACAUGUGUAUCACCACUGCCUGGCUAACCCUUCACUUCUUAAGUGAGUUUUAGUGUUUAAAAUGCAACUUAAUUUUCAAAAUGGCACUAAGGUGGUUUGUCCAGCCUUGGUUUACUCCAGAUGAGCAGCAGCCCUCAACAGUGUGUUGAUUGAACUCAUCUGGCUGCAGUGAAAUGGCUGAAAGUGAGAUUUUCUAGUGCAUACUUCUGUGCUAGCCUCCCUACUUGGUCUUAAUGGCUGACCUUGGGCAAGUCUUUCCUUUCAAUGCCUCAGUUCCCCAUCUGUCAAAUGGGGUGAUAAUACUGACCUACCUCAUGGGGUGUUGUGAGGCAUUACAGAUCAGAGCUGAUCAACUCCUUUAGGAUUGCCUGUGGAGGAUACCUUCAGUCGAAGUUUUUUUAGCCCUCACUGAGCUACUUCCAAGUUUGGAAGUACUUAGUGACCUUGGUGAGUUUCUGUCCCCAAUCCCUUAACCCCUCAUCAAUGCUGCUAGUUCAGAUGUUGACAGUGUUUUGUGAAUGUUGGAGUCUUGAUCAUCCAGUCUAACUUGGGAUGCUGUGAGGGAAGGCACUUGUGGGCUCUGUGUCUUGCAUCACAAAGAGACUUAGAAAUUCAAGAGCCUUGGGUUAGGGAAUCUUGAGGCAGGAGUGCUACUUCAUGUCUUUCUCUGCAGGCAGGAGUUAAGGUCCUAUUCUCAUGGAUGACUUGUGCUGAUUGUCUUGGUAGUGUGGAUUGAUAUUGUUGCUUCCAUUUUCCAGGCUGACCUAGGACAGGUCGUCCACUGAACUCUUCAUGCUCCGAUGCCUCUGCCCUCUCAUAGAAGCCAGACGGCUCAAGCAACAUAACACUCCCUUCCCCUACCAAAAAGAGCUACAUUGUAUUUUGUUUUUUUCUAGAAAUAGGUAUACCAUUUCAGAAUUGAGCAUUGGUCCUCAAGGCUUCUUUUCAGUUCACUGUGUGUGGAAUCUGUCACCUCUUUUCAGUGUAUACCAUCUGACCCACUGAGGACAUCUUGGACACUUGUUUGCCCACCUGAGGGUUCAAGAGCCUUUCUUGCUCUGUCUCAGUAUAGGGACUAAGGCAUCCCCAGAUUCUUCAUGAUAGGUUUCCUUUUCCCCUACUUGACCUUCUAUUGGUACCCAUGAAAAAGCACAAGGUCCUAGCUCCCUGUAGAUACACACUCCAGUUCUGUUGGGUAGACUCUACUCCUAACAGGGGUCCUAGAGGGUUCUCUGGAGGAUGGGAAAGGAACAGUCUCAUGUCCUGCCAAAUAGUAGCCAGCAGUUGCCUUACCCCUGCCUGCUGGCCAUGAACCCACAUUCUCACGGAAAGGGCUUUCAGAGACCCCUGGUUUUUCUCAGCACUGUACCAUUUUGUGUAGGAAGCAGGUCACACCUUGUAGCCAGGUCUAAAUGGAAGUGAGACAGUGAAUUCUCUGUGGACUUUUUUGGUUUGUGGGGGGGUUUUGGUUGUGUUUCUUGGUUCUGUUUCAGCCAAACUUGUCUGCUUUUGAUUUCUUUAAAGGAUAAGUGGUCUAUCUAUCUAUCUACACGUAUGUUUGCAUUUUAAGUGUAAGUGUUUUG
rnacentral:lncRNA from 1 species